rnacentral:lncRNA from 1 species
AUUAAUAUUGUAGAUUAGGAAGAGUGUAAGAAUUUAAAUAUUUAAUUAACUAAAUAUUAUAAUAUGAAAGCACAAACUUAUAACUCAUUUAUUUUCUGCAAAAAUAUCAAGAUUCUCAUUCAUCCAUCUUAUUCAAAUCGCUAAAAUAAAUAAAAUAAAUAAAUAGGAAAAUAAUUUAUUGUUUCUGGAUAAACCAAUGAAAAAACCAAGAUUAAAAAUAGAAAAAAAACCAACAUAAAAUGAAAAACAUUCUUCUU